AGCCUGGGAAACUGGGUCUAAUACCGAAUAUGACCAUGCACUUCCUGGUGUGUGGUGGAAAGCUUUUGCGGUGUGGGAUGGGCCCGCGGCCUAUCAGCUUGUUGGUGGGGUAAUGGCCUACCAAGGCGACGACGGGUAGCCGGCCUGAGAGGGUGACCGGCCACACUGGGACUGAGAUACGGCCCAGACUCCUACGGGAGGCAGCAGUGGGGAAUAUUGCACAAUGGGCGCAAGCCUGAUGCACCGACGCCGCGUGAGGGAUGACGGCCUUCGGGUUGUAAACCUCUUUCAACACAGACGAAGCGCAAGUGACGGUACCUGUAGAAGAAGGACCGGCCAACUACGUGCCAGCAGCCGCGGUAAUAC
rnacentral:rRNA from 1 species